AUACCAGCUCUUCUAGCAUAUAUUAAAGUUGCUGCAGUUAAAACGCUCGUAGUUUGAAUUAUUUCGGUGUCAGGCUGGCUGGAAAAUUUAAUUUUUCAAGCUGUCUGGUGCCGAAUUAAAGUUUGGGUAGAGCAGAUUAAUUUCUCUCUAUCCAUUUAACCUUGAAAAAACAUUGUCGCUCAAAAAAGGACGGAAAAGUCUAUUGAGAUUUCAGCAUGGGAUUAUGAAAAAAGGGGGGCGGGUGCGAAAGGGGGUAAAAGCCCGAUUGGCUCGUUUCCAAUGGUUAAUGAGGACGAUGCGUGGAAGUUCAUAUUAAUAAGUCAGAGGUGAAAUUCUUGGAUUUUAUUAAGAUGAACAUCAGCGAAGGCGUUCUUCAAGUGCGUGCCUGUCGAUCAAGAACGAAAGUUGGGGGAUCGAAGACGAUCAGAUACCGUCGUAGUCUCAACCUUAAACUAUGCCGACUAUGAAUAGGAUAUCGUUUUAAGAAGGGCGUCAAAAACCCUUCUGAUGACUUCUCCUGCGCAUUAAAAGAAAUUAAGAGUUUUUGGGUUCCGGGGGGAGUAUAGUCGCAAGGCCGAAACUUAAAGGAAUUGACGGAAGGGCACCACCAGGUGUGGAGCCUGCGGCUUAAUUUGACCCAACACGGGGAAACUUACCAGGUCCAGACAGCGUGAGGAUUGACAGAUUGAUAGCUCUUUCAUGAUUCGUUGGGUGGUGGUGCAUGGCCGUUCUUAGUUGGUGGUGUGAGAUGUCUGGUUGAUUCCGUUAACGAACGAGACCUUCGUUGUAUAAUACGAGGCGCUAGUUUUUGCGUCAAGGGUAGUGGCUCCUUCUUGAGAUACGAGCAAUCGCCUUGGGAAAAGGGUCAUUACUUGCAUAGCUAGCGUCAGUUUCGUUCUAUACAAGACAAAUACAGAAAAUGUAUGGGAAGUUGUAGGCAAAAACAGGUCUGUGAUGCCCUUCGAUGUUCUGGGCUGCACGCGCGCUACAAUGACAAUGUCAGCGAGUUUUUUAGCUUGGGCGAAAGCUCUGGCAAAUCUUCGAAACGUUGUCGUACUAUGGAUUGUUGAUUGCAACUAUUCGACAUAAAACAUGAAUACCUAGUAGACGUGCUUCAUCAGAGUACGUCGAUUACGUCCCUGCCCUUUGUACACACCGCCCGUCGCUCCUACCGAUUGGAACAUACGGUGAAAAUCUCGGAG
rnacentral:rRNA from 1 species